CAGAGUUCCUCAGCCAAUCAGAAGAGAGGGAAGGCCUGCGGAGGAAGACCCGCAGUUCUGCCUUCAGUUUCUCCACUCCCGACGUUGACCGGGAAAGAGAUCGAGAUCGAUAUCGAACCCACAGACAAGGUGAGGCCUCAAUGGGGGCCUAUGGGGUUU